GACGAACGCUGGCGGCGGGCUUAACACAUGCAAGUCGAGGGGAAAGGCCUGCGUUAGCUUGCGUAUUACGGGCGCCCGAGUGGCCAACGGGUGAGUAACACGAGAGAAAUCUGCCAUCAACUUGGGUAUACCCCUGGGAAACAGGGCCUAAUUCCCGAUACGUCUGACGGGUGGUUCCUGAGGGGGUAAACGAUUUACUAGUGGUUGGGGGUGAGCUCGCGGCUUAUCAGCUUGUCGGUGUGGUAAUGGCCUACCAAGGCGGCUACGGGUAGCCGGCCGAGGAGAGUGACCGGCCUCAUUGGGACUGAGAUACAGACGAGGAAGCUACGGGAGUCAGCAGGGGGAAAGGUUGGAGAAUGGGCAGACGCUUAACGCAGGCACGCCGCGUGGGGGAUGACGGCCUUCGGGGUGUAAACUCCUUUGGACGGCGAGGAAGGCACCUUGUGGGAAGGGUGGUGACGGUAGUGGUAGAAGAAGCACCGGCUAACUACGUG
rnacentral:rRNA from 1 species